CUAAUUUUAGAAAUGACUUGUCCACUCAGCUGCUGCUAUCACAUUGGCGUGGGGGAGGACGGAGAGGAGCAGUCAGGGAAGGGGGUAUGAGUGCCGGCGCCGGGCGGGGAGCUGCUGCCAUUUCUUCUCUGUCCCUGCUCUCCUGGCCUGGUGGGUCUCUGCGCUGGGACCUGCGGAGACCCCUCGGACCGGAGUGGAUCCCGUGACCUCAGCCCCGGCUGGAGAAGUAGAGAAGAUUCGAGCCACCUUCACUGUUCUCCGGGCCUUUGGCUCCGUGUUCACCGGCCACAGCCGCCGUGCCACCCGGUUCUCCAUGGUGAUGUCACUGGACUUCAAUGCCACAGGCUGAGUCACGGCCGCCCAGCUCCAGAUGAUGCUGUUGGAGAAGAGCCACGUGGCCCGGCAGCUGGAAGGGGAAGGCAAUUUCGAGGUUUUCUCCCAGAUGCUAGCCGGAUUGGACCUGGAUCUCAGGACAGAACUGUACCUGCACCAGCUGGCAGACAGCAGCUCCUUCGGCAUGGGCGUGUGGCCUAAGGCAAGCAGAGGGCGGCGGCUGCCUUAGCGCAGCUCCAGGGCACCAUGGAGACGCUGGGCGUUUUGGAGAGCGAGCAGAGGGCCAUUUGGCGUGUGUUGGCAGCCAUCUACCACCUGGGUGCGGCGGGGGCCUGCAAAGGUGGAGAAGGGAAUUCAGAGUUGUUCAACACCUUCUCAGGGCCAGGUGCUCUGCUGAGAACCUCACGUGCCACCAUCUCGCCCAGUCCUUGCAGCCCAGCGAAGAGGUGUUUGAGGUUUUAUGACUCCGUUUUGCAGAUGAAGAAACUGAGGCUCAAAAAGGCUGUGAGACUGGUCCAAGGGCUGACAGCUGGGAAUGACGGGAACGGGACGCAGACCCUGCCUGUCUGCUCCGGUGCCUGUGUUCCUGCCCAGUCCCCUUUCUCCUCACCGCAGGUGCUGCCCCAGGGCUCUCAGCCUCCACUGAGAAGGCGUGGCCUCCACCCAGGUCUGGACGAAGACAGAGGGGCCCAUGGGGUUGGAUUUGGUGCCUGGCCAGCCUUCGGGAGCUGGAAGCAGAAAUACAUUUUCCCGGCAGAGCUCCCAUGUGCCUCCUGGGUUUCACCAGCGGGCUGCUGCUCAGCGCAUUUGGAAAUAUGCCCCUUAAGUCAGGCGGGACCUCGAGAGUCCUGCCCAGUCCAUUUCCUGCUCCUCUUUUCAGAAACAACCAUUGCCGAGCCCCUUCAUGAGCUCUCCCCAGCUCAGCCAGGCUAUAGGUCACUGUGGGCAGAGUGUGGGAGACUGUUUCAGAGGGUGGCAGUGGAGGUGAUGGGGCAGGAGAGGGGCAGGACGUUGCCCACCUAGACAGUCAUCUCCUGUUUAAUUCACUUUCAACCCCAUCACAGGAAGAAGGAAAUCUCAUUCAGGGCUAGUAGCCUUUAACUCCUCUCUGUAAUACUUGCUAAUCUCCCUUUUUCAACAAAGAGAAAGCAGACCUCAGACUCCCAGGUAACUGUAUCUAAUUAGAAUCUAAUGGUAUUUCUGUACGCAUAUUGUAUUUAUUUCUACUUUCUAUUUGUGACAAGUGAUAACAGUGUUGGUUCAGAAACUGGCCCCCACUGUGGUGGAGAGCAGGGAGAGACUGAAGAAAGAGGCAGCCACUCCAGAUUGGUGGGUGGCAGGUGUAAUAUGCAAGGGAACUGACAUACAGGGCUUGUCUUGGAUGCUGCAAGAAGGGUAGGUCUCCACCCCCGCCCGCCAGAGUCUUAAAGUUUAUAGAGGCCGGAACUGGGCUCAGUCACGGAGACCUUCUGGAUGGUCUCAGUAACACCCCGCUCUCUCAAGGCUGUGCCCUUGUAACAGCUCCCACUGUGGGAGUGGGGGAGGGGCUGGAUGUAUAUUCCAAGGGCAGGGGAGGGGGUGAGGAGUUUCUAAUUGCCCAGGGCCAGCUCGCAGGUCACCUGGUGGUCAUAUCCUCUCAAGGACCUCCUUCAACAAAUGGGUUCGUGUUUAAGUUAGUGCUAUAACAUUUCCUUUCACAAGGUAUUUAUGUACGUGAAAAAGAUUAGUGAUUCCAUUUAAAAGAAAGUCCUAUCUAGGACUAUCUAGGGACACAAGGAUUUGACAAAUUUCCUAAAGGUGACAUUGGAAGGAUUGAUUCUGGGGAGAUAGUUCUUCCACUUAGUCUGAUUUCUGGUGACUUUUCCGAAUCAGUUUUCUCAUCUGUAAAAUGGGAAUAAUACUGCUUUCGAGGACUUUUGUGAAGAUUCAAUAAUAGUAAUAAUAAUAAUAAGUAAUUACAACUUGCAUGUAUUGAGUUUUUUUCUGUGUCACACCUGGAACUCCAAGACAGGCUUUCUGACUCCAAAGCCCAUGAGCUGAACAAAGAUGACAUGUUGAAUAAAAUGGGGUCACUGAGUGGUAACUGCUAUCAUCACCAUCAACCACCGUCGUCAUCACCAUCAUCUCAUCAUCUCCACCAUCACCUCCACCAUCAUCACCAUGUCAUCACCACCAUCAUUGUUACCUUCUUCACCGUUUUUUAAAGUAGCAGGGGACUUUCCUGGUGGCUCAGUGGUUAAGAAUCCGCCUGCCAAUGCAGGGGGCAUGGGUUCGAUCCCUGGUCCGGGAAGAUCCCACAUGCCACAGAGCAACUAAGCCUUUGCGCCACAACUACUGAGCAUGUGCUCUAGAGCCCGUGAGCCACAACUACUGAAGCCCAGGCACUCUAGGGCCCACAUGCCGCAACUACUGAAGCCUGCACACUCUAGUGCCCACGUGCCGCAACUACUGAACCCACACGCUGCAACUGCUGAAGCCCAUGCACCUAGAGCCCAUGCUCCGCAACAAGAGAAGCCACUGCACUGAGAAGUCCGAGCACCACAACGGAAGAGUAGGCCCUGCUCACCGCAACUAGAGAAAGCCUGCGCGAAGCAAUGAAGACCCAAUGCAGCC